GUGAGGAAAGCGCCUUUAUAAGUUCAGCUUUCUGCUGUUCAACUCAUAUCGUUGAUUUAUUGGCCAACUACUAAGCAGAACUUUUUAAUUCUUCUCCUUGCAGGAACAAGAGCUACUAUACAAUUAAGAACUUGAAUUUUCUCGUUAUCAAAGAUGAAACUCGAAACAAUUCUUCUGGUGACGGCGUUUUUAGUGGCGACUGCUACCUUAUCAUCAGCGAAUGAAUGCCUUAACUGUGACACUGUUUACACGAUGUGUAUUGGCGCGUGCAACACCAUGGGGCAAUGCACUCUGUGUACCGAGAAGAGUGACGCAUGUAAGGCUACACAUUGUGGUAGAAAACGAACCUUUCGACCAAGAUUUCGGACCUUCAAUGACUUUAUGAGCCAAAAACGGGUUCAAGAGAUACCGAAAUGAAGAAGAGAACUUUUAAAAGAAUCGCCCAUGUAGCAAUGAAAUAAUUGUAUUAGAUAAUUGAUGUAGUGAGAGUAUUUACUAUUGUAACCUUAUUCCAUUCAUUAAAAAGCCUUUAGAAAAACUA